rnacentral:rRNA from 1 species
GAGUUUGAUCGUGGCUCAGGAUGAACGCUAGCGGCAGGCCUAACACAUGCAAGUCGAGGGGUAGAGUUAGCUUGCUAACUUGAGACCGGCGCACGGGUGCGUAACGCGUAUGCAAUCUACCUUGUACAGAGGGAUAGCCCAGAGAAAUUUGGAUUAAUACCUCAUAGUGUUAUGAUGUGGCAUCACAUUAUAACUAAAGUUCCAACGGUACAAGAUGAGCAUGCGUCCCAUUAGCUAGUUGGUGUGGUAACGGCAUACCAAGGCAAUGAUGGGUAGGGGUCCUGAGAGGGAGAUCCCCCACACUGGUACUGAGACACGGACCAGACUCCUACGGGAGGCAGCAGUGAGGAAUAUUGGUCAAUGGGCGCAAGCCUGAACCAGCCAUGCCGCGUGCAGGAUGACGGUCCUAUGGAUUGUAAACUGCUUUUAUACAGGAAGAAACACCCCUUCGUGAAGGGACUUGACGGUACUGUAGGAAU